UAUAUAAAAUAUACAGUAACAUUUCCUUCAUCUCAAGGUUUGGCUGGCUUGCUUAUUUAGAUUAUAAAUUCUUUAGGGCAAAAACUGUCUCUUACACUGUGUGUGUACAUUACCAGAAACAGGCAUGCAGAAAAUGAAGCAGGCAGAUGGUUCUGGAAUAGUUCUGUUGGAGCAUCUGGCUGAUUUUCUGGAACAGCAUCACAUUCAAAUGGUAAAUUCACCCGUGAAAACUCACAUUAAAGGAACAUUACUAGUUGUUGCUGUCUUAACAACAGUCAUCUGUGGCCUGGGGCAGGUCUCCACCAUAAAAAGACCAGCAGUAAAAGUGGCUGAGUGGAGGAAUAAAUAUUUGCCAUUAAAAUAUUCCUUCAUUUUGAACCCCUAGAGAGACAAAUUACUGGGACUAAGCACUCUUGAGCACUUUGGGGAAUUAAAGUAAUAGAAGACUCUAGGGAGAACUGGGGCUUGUUAAUUUUUUUUUGUUGUUGUUGUUCCUUGACUUCUUGAGGUAUUCAUAAAUUGCCUACAAACAAGUAAAAACUUACAGGAAAGGGUUUUUCACCAUGCCAGCUCCAAAUGGUUGUGGAAUUAUAUUGUUUUUCCAGGCUGCCUUUCCAAAAUCCCUGCAGGAAGUUGAGUCAGGGCUUGACUCUGGCCUCAGACACACGCACAGCAAUAGCAGGAAUCCUCACUUCAACCAGAAGUCAGAUGAAUGCUGUCCCUUUGAAACAGGUGCCACUUUUAAUCUGAGUUUAUGCAGUUCUUCACAGAAUUAUAUUUUCCCCCCUCAGUGGAACUCCUAGGCACUUUUACAGUGUUAAUAGAUAAUGAAUGAGACUUCAAGUGUGCUGACACUAGUGAAGAACUCAUCCAGAGAAGUUCAAUGAUGUUUUUCAUUGGUACCUUCAUGGAAGUACCUUCAAAAAGGAGUUCAAAGAUGACCUCAGGAACUCUCUCACCUACCUCCCAAAUACCCCAACCAAGACGCAUCUGACCAUGGAUAAUAAUCUACUAUUCUUCCAGUAUAUAAAUGUGUUAUGCAAAGAGUUCAAGAAACCUUAUGGAAUUUGGAGUGUCUCUGAAACUUUGAAUUACAAUAUCCUCGGGGACUGACUGUCCACAGUGGGACUGUGUAUGUGUUUUGUUCAGCAAACUGAGCAUGAAUGAUAUAAGGCACCAAGAAAACUGUCUGUAAUGACAAUAAACUUAUGACAUUUUC